rnacentral:rRNA from 2 species
AGACCCGAAACCCGGUGAUCUAGCCAUGGGCAGGUUGAAGGUUGGGUAACACUAACUGGAGGACCGAACCGACUAAUGUUGAAAAAUUAGCGGAUGACCUGUGGCUGGGGGUGAAAGGCCAAUCAAACCGGGAGAUAGCUGGUUCUCCCCGAAAGCUAUUUAGGUAGCGCCUCGUGAAUUCAUCUCCGGGGGUAGAGCACUGUUUCGGCUAGGGGGCCAUCCCGGCUUACCAACCCGAUGCAAACUGCGAAUACCGGAGAAUGUUAUCACGGGAGACACACGGCGGGUGCUAACGUCCGUCGUGAAGAGGGAAACAACCCAGACCGCCAGCUAAGGUCCCAAAGUCAUGGUUAAGUGGGAAACGAUGUGGGAAGGCCCAGACAGCCAGGAUGUUGGCUUAGAAGCAGCCAUCAUUUAAAGAAAGCGUAAUAGCUCACUGGUCGAGUCGGCCUGCGCGGAAGAUGUAACGGGGCUAAACCAUGCACCGAAGCUGCGGCAGCGAACGUAUCACCCAAGACAACUUUACGGAGUUGACGAUUGACGGAGCGAAGCGACGUCAAAGCGUUCAUUAAAGUCGAGUUGGCUUAGGGAUACGUUCGUUGGGUAGGGGAGCGUUCUGUAAGCCUGUGAAGGUGUGUCGUGAGGCAUGCUGGAGGUAUCAGAAGUGCGAAUGCUGACAUAAGUAACGAUAAAGCGGGUGAAAAGCCCGCUCGCCGGAAGACCAAGGGUUCCUGUCCAACGUUAAUCGGGGCAGGGUGAGUCGACCCCUAAGGCGAGGCCGAAAGGCGUAGUCGAUGGGAAACGGGUUAAUAUUCCCGUACUUGGUGUUACUGCGAAGGGGGGACGGAGAAGGCUAUGUUGGCCGGGCGACGGUUGUCCCGGUUUAAGCGUGUAGGUGUGUGUUCCAGGUAAAUCCGGUUCACUUUAACACUGAGGCGUGAUGACGAGGCACUACGGUGCUGAAGCAACAAAUGCCCUGCUUCCAGGAAAAGCCUCUAAGCAUCAGGUAACAUCAAAUCGUACCCCAAACCGACACAGGUGGUCAGGUAGAGAAUACCAAGGCGCUUGAGAGAACUCGGGUGAAGGAACUAGGCAAAAUGGUGCCGUAACUUCGGGAGAAGGCACGCUGACACGUAGGUGAAGUGAUUUACUCAUGGAGCUGAAGUCAGUCGAAGAUACCAGCUGGCUGCAACUGUUUAUUAAAAACACAGCACUGUGCAAACACGAAAGUGGACGUAUACGGUGUGACGCCUGCCCGGUGCCGGAAGGUUAAUUGAUGGGGUCAGCGUAAGCGAAGCUCCUGAUCGAAGCCCCGGUAAACGGCGGCCGUAACUAUAACGGUCCUAAGGUAGCGAAAUUCCUUGUCGGGUAAGUUCCGACCUGCACGAAUGGCGUAAUGAUGGCCAGGCUGUCUCCACCCGAGACUCAGUGAAAUUGAACUCGCUGUGAAGAUGCAGUGUACCCGCGGCAAGACGGAAAGACCCCGUGAACCUUUACUAUAGCUUGACACUGAACAUUGAGCCUUGAUGUGUAGGAUAGGUGGGAGGCUUUGAAGUGUGGACGCCAGUCUGCAUGGAGCCGACCUUGAAAUACCACCCUUUAAUGUUUGAUGUUCUAACGUGGACCCGUAAUCCGGGUUGCGGACAGUGUCUGGUGGGUAGUUUGACUGGGGCGGUCUCCUCCUAAAGAGUAACGGAGGAGCACGAAGGUUGGCUAAUCCUGGUCGGACAUCAGGAGGUUAGUGCAAUGGCAUAAGCCAGCUUGACUGCGAGCGUGACGGCGCGAGCAGGUGCGAAAGCAGGUCAUAGUGAUCCGGUGGUUCUGAAUGGAAGGGCCAUCGCUCAACGGAUAAAAGGUACUCCGGGGAUAACAGGCUGAUACCGCCCAAGAGUUCAUAUCGACGGCGGUGUUUGGCACCUCGAUGUCGGCUCAUCACAUCCUGGGGCUGAAGUAGGUCCCAAGGGUAUGGCUGUUCGCCAUUUAAAGUGGUACGCGAGCUGGGUUUAGAACGUCGUGAGACAGUUCGGUCCCUAUCUGCCGUGGGCGCUGGAGAACUGAGGGGGGCUGCUCCUAGUACGAGAGGACCGGAGUGGACGCAUCACUGGUGUUCGGGUUGUCAUGCCAAUGGCACUGCCCGGUAGCUAAAUGCGGAAGAGAUAAGUGCUGAAAGCAUCUAAGCACGAAACUUGCCCCGAGAUGAGUUCUCCCUGAGACUUAGAGUCUCCUGAAGGAACGUUGAAGACGACGACGUUGAUAGGCCGGGUGUGUAAGCGCAGCGAUGCGUUGAGCUAACCGGUACUAAUGAACCGUGAGGCUUAACCUU